AUGGAUGCGGGGAGCGCCGGCGAGGCGGGACGGCAGGAGGGGACUCCGAUGGGCCCCGCGGCGCCGUUUGGCAGGUCGUCGUCGUCGUCGGGUCUCGGCGCGAAGGGCGGCGCAGCACCCCAGAGCUUCGACGGCGCGCUCAGAGUUGAGUGGUUCUUUUCCCAACCAUACCGCGUCAAGUGCGCGCCUCUGAUUAGUGCUUGCGGGUCGGACGUCCGACGCGUUCGUUGGGGUUUGCAGGAGCUCAAGGAUCUGCAGUCCCAGCUGCACCAGGCGGCGGACUGCUGCGAGAAGGCGUUCCUCGCCACCGAGAAGAAGCAGCUAAUCCUGGACAGUACAAAGAGCUACAUCUGCAACGCGGUAGUAGCGGUGAUUGAUCAUCUGGGGACCGUUUCAUCCAAGCUUGAGCACCAGCUGGAAGACAAGGCUGAGAUCACGCAAACAGAGCAAAAGAUCAACUUCCUGAAGCAGAGGCUCUUGACAUGCGAACACUAUGCAAUUUCUCUCCAACUAUUGGCCGUUCGUGCGGACACUGGCGCCGUUCAAUAUCAUCGCCGUUAUCUUUCGCAAUCUUCUGAAAGAAACAACGAGGAAAAUGUCGCCAAGUCAAGCAGAGGUGGCCCAGAACCCUUCAAGCUCAAUAGCGCAGUGGCGCCAGGAUCUACUCGCACUCUGAAGCCAUAUGAUGCUGAAUCAACCAUCGGGAGGGAGCAUGCCGUGGCGGGUUCAGACGUUGGAAACCCAGCAUCCAUAGCGAGGUCAUUUUCCUUCAGAGCAGAGGAUGUUCACGUUGCUGCAGGGGGUCACCACAAGAAGAAGAAGAAAGGCAGCCAUGGCAGCAACAUCAUGUCAUUUCUCAAAAGAAGCAAGCGACAUGGGUAA
rnacentral:rRNA from 1 species